CUCCUACCUCAGCCUUCGGAGUAGCUGGGAUUACAGGCAUAAGCCACCGCGCCCGGCCUUCCAGCUGAUACCUUAAAAGAACUUUUCAACUUUAGUAAAUACCCUGUUUUAAUGAAAUCUCAUUGAAAGUACCCCAUGUUUAUCAUCAAAUGAAAAUCCUUUGACGACUUCCAAGUUCUUACAGAAAAAUAUUCUGCCUUUCCAUACAAAGCUGUUGGACUUCAAUACAUGAGGACUUGGACUUGGUGGGCACAGAAUGCAUCUUCUUAUAUCAUUAAAUCCACCAGAACACCUAGCAUGGUCAUUUGCCUAAAACAAAGCCUCUGGAAAUUUAGUCAAGUUGAGAUUUAAAAUAAAAGAUUACUGAACAGAA